GGUGAGGUGGCCGAGUUGGUUAUGGCGCCAGGUUAAGGCCUUCAGUCUUAGCACACAAGCAACUGCGCAAUUCACUAAAGUGGAUUACAACUGUUUCCUGGUGGGGCAACCCGCGCGAGUUCGAGUCUCGUCCUCAUCA